rnacentral:rRNA from 1 species
AUUGAACGCUGGCGGCGUGGUUAAAGCAUGCAAGUCGAACGCACCCGCAAGGGUGAGUGGCGAAAGGGUCAGUAACAACAUCGAACGUACCCCGAGGUGUGGGAUAGGCAUGGGAAACUGUGCGUAAUACCACAUGAUCUCUCAGGAGCAAAGGUUUACCGCCUUGGGCUCGCGAUGUUCCUAUCAGCUAGUUGGGCGGGGUAACCGGCCCACCAAGGCGAUGACGGGGUAGCCGGGUGAGAGCACGACCGGCGACAUC